GCCGUCGUGGUGUAGAGGUUAGCAUGCUCGACGCGUAACCGAAAGGUCCGGGUUCGAUUCCCGGAGAAGGCG
rnacentral:tRNA from 1 species